AUCCAGCUGACAAGUCCUAAAUAGGACGAAAUGCGCUUUAUCCUGGAU
rnacentral:hammerhead_ribozyme from 1 species